rnacentral:rRNA from 1 species
GAUGAACGCUGGCGGCGUGCCUAAUACAUGCAAGUCGAGCGAACCACUUCGGUGGUGAGCGGCGAACGGGUGAGUAACACGUAGGUGAUCUGCCCAUCAGACGGGGACAACGAUUGGAAACGAUCGCUAAUACCGGAUAGGACGAAAGUUUAAAGGUGCUUCUGGCACCGCUGAUGGAUGAGCCUGCGGGCCAUUAGCGAGUUGGUAGGGUAAAGGCUUACCAAGGCGACGAUGCGUAGCCGACCUGAGAGGGUGGACGGCCACACUGGGACUGGGACACGGCCCAGAAUCCUACGGGAGGCAGCAGUAGGGAAUCUUCGGCAAUGGGCGAAAGCCUGACCGAGCAACGCCGCGGGAAUGAUGAAGGCCUUCGGGUUGUAUAAUUCUGUUAUAAGGGAAGAACGACUUUAGUAGGAAAUGGCUAGAGUGUGACGGUACCUUAUGAGAAAGCCACGGCUAACUACGUGCCAGCCGCCGCAGUAA